rnacentral:rRNA from 1 species
GACGAACGCUGGCGGCGUGCCUAAUACAUGCAAGUUGAGCGCUGAAGGUUGGUACUUGUACCGACUGGAUGAGCAGCGAACGGGUGAGUAACGCGUGGGGAAUCUGCCUUUGAGCGGGGGACAACAUUUGGAAACGAAUGCUAAUACCGCAUAAAAACUUUAAACACAAGUUUUAAGUUUGAAAGAUGCAAUUGCAUCACUCAAAGAUGAUCCCGCGUUGUAUUAGCUAGUUGGUGAGGUAAAGGCGCAACAAGGCGAUGAUACAUAGCCGACCUGAGAGGGUGAUCGGCCACAUUGGGACUGAGACACGGCCCAAACGCCUACGGGAGGCAGCAGUAGGGAAUCUUCGGCAAUGGACGAAAGUCUGACCGAGCAACGCCGCGUGAGUGAAGAAGGUUUUCGGAUCGUAAAACUCUGUUGGUAGAGAAGAACGUUGGUGAGAGUGGAAAGCUCAUCAAGUGACGGUAACUACCCAGAAAGGGACGGCUAACUACGUG